UACGAAGGGGGCUAGCGUUGCUCGGAAUCACUGGGCGUAAAGCGCACGUAGGCGGCUUACUAAGUCAGGGGUGAAAUCCUGGAGCUCAACUCCAGAACUGCCUUUGAUACUGGUGAGCUUGAGUCCGGAAGAGGUGAGUGGAACUGCGAGUGUAGAGGUGAAAUUCGUAGAUAUUCGGAAGAACACCAGUGGCGAAGGCGACUUACUGGACACAUAUUGACGCUGAGGUGCGAAAGCGGUGGGGAGCAA
rnacentral:rRNA from 1 species